rnacentral:rRNA from 1 species
UGCAGGAAUGAUUCCUUCCGCAGUGUACACUUGUAGAAGCCUUUGCAGCCACGCAAGUGGUAGAUCUGGACGACUUUAAACAAUUCUAGGAUCGCUAUGCAAGUCGGCCCACGCAUGUGGUGCCGGCGACACUUUCGAAUUGACGGGGAUACCCUAAAGCCUGUCGCACCAACUCUGUGUGGGAAACCGCUGGAGGGCCCGUGCUAACUACACGGGGUGGUAACAGACGACACGGAUACCUCCACGCCUUUUUUGGUGUGGAUACCAUGGGCAAUCCGCAGCGAAGCCUCUAAGUCCGGCCGCCGGAUACGAGGAACGUUCACAGACUAAGUGGAAGUGGGUGGAGCGUUCGCCGCUCUGCUUAAGAUAUAGUCGGUCCCCUUGGGAAACUAAGGGGGUGAGUACACUGCUCGAAAUUUAAACUUGCGCGUCUCGGAUAGCGCUCGUGUUAGAAUUUCGGGACCGUCGAUGGCCUCGCGGUUCGACGGCUCUUAAAACGUUCCGUAGGUGAACCUGCGGAAGGAUCAUUACAGAAAGUAAACGCGGAUCAAACCGCGAACUUUUAAACCUUUGACGAUUGACUCAUGUUGCCUCGGCGGGUUCUCCCGCCAGAGGAUACAUCAAAACUCCUGUUUUAACGGUGUUGUCUGAGCUACAAGCAACGAAUCAAAACUUUCAACAACGGAUCUCUUGGUUCUGGCAUCGAUGAAGAACGCAGCGAAAUGCGAUAAGUAGUGUGAAUUGCAGAAUUCAGUGAAUCAUCGAAUCUUUGAACGCACAUUGCGCCCCUUGGUAUCCCGAGGGGCAUGCCUGUUCGAGCGUCAUUUCACCACUCAAGCCUGGCUUGGUGUUGGGCGACGUCCCCUUCAGGGACGCGCCUCGAAACGCUCGGCGGCGUGGCACCGGCUUUAAGCGUAGCAGAAUCUUUCGCUUCAAAAGUCGGGGCCCCGUCUGCCGGAAGACCUACUCGCAAGGU